CUACCCAGGGUGCUGCGCAACCUCCUCCCCCUUCCCCCGUAGCGACCUCCUCCCCCUUCCCCGUAGCGACCUGUAGCAACCUCCUCCCUCUUCCCCCGUAGCGACCGCGUCGCUACCUUUUCCCCUUUCCCCAUCAUCUCCCGUCGCCGUGUUUUUUCCCAGCCAGGGACCGCGUCCCUGGUUCUCCCUCACCCCUCUUUCCCUGGAUUCCCAUAGGGAUAACGUCCCCCAUAACCUUUUAAUUUUCGCUUCAUGGCUAAAAGUUCUGAAAUUAGCUAUAAAUGAGCUAUAAUUAGCAUUGUUUCGGAGGCUUCUGCUAGCAUAGGCAAAUGACUCGUUUGGAUGUGGUUAGGUGUUGGAGAGCUCUUCUGUCUGAAUAUCAGUGAUCUGGGUACCAGUACUGAUCAUCACACUGCUGGGCCUUCUGACUGCUUUAGGAGUGGCUCUCCUGCGUCGGCGGAUCAGGAAACCAUCAAUGGUUCAAGAGGAGCCUGUGUAUGAAACCACUGACCAGAUGCAAACCUACGCCAACACUAUUAUUCUUGGAGCUCUUCAGUCUUCAAAUCAGCUUUCCAAGCCAGAAUCAGAAGAUACAGCCCAGAACCUACAAUCAGAAAUUACGUAUGAAACUCCCACAUACAUAUUAUAAUGGGUGUGAGUUUGAGAGUGGAAUCUCCUGGUGGAAAGCUAUGUCAAGCUUGGGUAUUUGGAGUUCAGAGGUUUCACUUCAUUAUUCAAACUGUGCUAUCUCUAAUCUCAACUUCAGGCGUGACAAAUUACAUUAAUAUCGUCGAUAGGCUAUAUAUUCAAUCAAUCUCCAGUCAGUGGGCAUCAUGAUGUGACUAAGGCAAAUAAAGAUCCUUUUUAUUUGGUUCUUUAAAUGUCUUUAAUUGUUUAUUACUGUUAUGUGUUGAUCUUUAACCUAUUGCCCAGACAGUUAGAGACACCUACUGUAGGAGGGUAAUGCAUUAAAAGCCCCUAUGUAUAUAUAUCACAUAGAUAGUUUGUUUAUCUUAUAGAUUUUAUGUACAUAUCUGUUACUCAUUUAAUCAUGACUUUAGUUAAUAUAACAAAUACAUGCUGUAGCUUGUCCUUGAAUGUGUAAACACGCAGACAAUUCUAUUUGACGUAUUAAUCUAAACUGUCAUGUUUAACUUAUGACAUCUCUGCUCUAUGUGUUUACUUUUUACCACUUGUGGUCACCAUUAUGCAUCGUCCAAAAUGUGUUUUAUUACAUUAGAAUGUGUUUAGGGUUUUGCAAAAAGAGUCAAUGAGAUCUGCAAAUUGUAUUGCACUAGGU